GACGGAGGAUGCAAGCGUUAUCCGGAAUGAUUGGGCGUAAAGCGUCCGCAGGUGGCAGUUCAAGUCUGCUGUCAAAGACCGGGGCUUAACUUCGGAAAGGCAGUGGAAACUGAACAGCUAGAGUAUGGUAGGGGCAGAGGGAAUUCCUGGUGUAGCGGUGGAAUGCGCAGAUAUCAGGAGGAAUACCCAUAGCGAAGGCAGCUCGCUGGGACGGUACUGACGCUAAGGCGCGAAAGCGUGGGGAGCGAACAGG
rnacentral:rRNA from 1 species